rnacentral:sRNA from 1 species
AUGUUGAAAAAAAAUAAGGUAAGAGGUUGUUUAGAGAAUUUGAGCUCAUUCCCUACCUUCUUGUUCAACAAAUUUGAUAUUUAAAUAUUUAUGCUAAUAAGAUAUUUCACAAUUCACCAAUUCCUUCUUGAUUAUCAGGGAAAUGAAGUGGUUCAAGCCAUGAAUAUUUUGUGUCGUAAUAUUGAAUUAAAAGAGGUAUGUUGGAGCCCUGAGGCCAUUUCGCAGAUGUACAAUCUUAAAUUUCUCAAAAUUGAUGGUGGUUUUUUCCAUGACACUCCACAUUUUAAUUGGUUGGGUCUUCCAAAUUCUUUGCCAUCAACUUUCCAUCUUCCAAAUUCUUUAAGAGUUCUUGAUUGGUGGGGUUAUCCUUCAAAUUCUUUGCCAUCAACUUUCCAGCUAGAUGAACUUGUUAUGCUUUGUUUGCCACAAAGCAGAAUUGAAAAACUUUGGAUAGGAAUAAAGGUAAUUUUGUUAUUAAGUAUCCUUAUAACUUUGCAUUUAAAUUUCAAUAAAUCGGACACUAGGAAACUCAUCAACUUGACUUCUUUUUUAACUUUUUUUUUUCUUAAAACAGAAUUUUGACAAGUUGAAGAUCAUCAACUUGUCAGGACCACACCUGAUUAUAUCCCCAGACUUCACUGGAGUCCCAAAUCUUGAGAAAUUAAAUCUUGCAAAUUGUCAGAAUUUACAUGUGCUUCACCCAUCCGUUGGAAUUCUUAAAGAGCUUGUUCUUCUUUAUUUGGAUUUCACUUCGAUUAUGGAACUACCUUCAUCAAUUGGAGGCUUGAUUUGCCUAACUUCAUUGACUCUUAAGGGUUGCAAAAAACUUGUAUGUCUUCCAAACACCAUUUGUUGUUUGAAAUCCCUUGAAUGUCUUCGGCUUUCUGGGUGCUCAAAUUUUGAAAACUUGCCAGAGAAUCUAGGGAAUGUCAAAGGCCUAAAGGAGCUUGAUUUGAGUGGAACAGCUAUAAAAGAAUUACCUUCAUCAAUUGAACGUUUGAUGCACCUUACUUCAUUGACUCUAUUUAAUUGCCACAAACUUGUGAGUCUUCCUAACACCACUUGUGGUUUUAGGUUCCGUGGUGCUCUUGAUCUUUCUAUUUGCUCAAGAUUCAAAAACUUGCCUGAGAACCCAUGGAUAAUCGAAGGUCUAAAGAUGCUUGAUUUGAGUAAAACAGUUAUAAAAGAGAUGCCUUCAUCGAUUGAACGUUUGACAAGUCUUACUUCAUUAACCCUCAGACAUUGUGAAUAUCUUCAGUGUCUUCCUAGCGCCAUUUGUAGUUUGAAAUCGCUUGAAUCUCUUGAUCUUUUUGGAUGCUCAAAUUUGUACAACUUGCCAGAAAAUCUAGGGAAUGUCAAAAGUUUGCAAAAGCUUGAUUUGAGGAGAACAACUAUAAAAGAGUUGCCUUCAUCAAUUGAACGUUUGACAAGGCUUACUUUAUUGGCCCUCCAAGGAUGCAAAAAUCUUGAAAACUUACCAGAGAAUCUAGGGAAUGUCAAAGGUCUAGAGAUGCUUGAUUUGAGUAAAACAGAUAUAAAAGAGAUGCCUUCAUCGAUUGAACGUUUGACAAGUCUUACUUAAUUAACCCUCAGACAUUGUGAAUAUCUUCAGUGUCUUCCUAGCACCAUUUGUAGUUUGAAAUCGCUUGAAUCUCUUGAUCUUUUUGGAUGCUCAAAUUUGUACAACUUGCCAGAGAAUCUAGGGAAUGUCAAAAGUCUAAAGAUGCUUGAUUUGAGUGGAACAGCUAUAAAAGAGUUGCCUUCAUCGAUUGAACGUUUGACAAGGCAUACUUUAUUGGCCCUCCAAGGAUGCAAAAAUCUUGAAAACUUACCAGAGAAUCUAGGGAAUGUCAAAGGCCUAAAGGAGCUUGAUUUGAGUGGAACAGCUAUAAAAGAAUUGCCUUCAUCAAUUGAACGUUUAAUGCACCUUACUUCAUUGACUCUAUUUAAUUGUCACAAACUUGUGAGUCUUCCUAACACCACUUGUGGUUUUAAGUUCUGUGGUGCUCUUGAUCUUUCUACUUGCUCAAGAUUCAAAAACUUGCCAGAGAACCCAUGGAUAAUUGAAGGUCUAGAGAUGCUUGAUUUGAGUAAAACAGAUAUAAAAGAGAUGCCUUCAUCGAUUGAACGUUUGACAAGUCUUACUUCAUUAACUCUCAGACGUUGUGAAUAUCUUCAGUGUCUUCCUAGUGCCAUUUGUAGUUUGAAAUCGCUUGAGUCUCUUGAUCUUUUUGGAUGCUCAAAUUUGUACAACUUGCCAGAAAAUCUAGGGAAUGUCAAAAGUUUGCAAAAGCUUGAUUUGAGGAGAACAACUAUAAAAGAGUUGCCUUCAUCAAUUGAACGUUUGACAAGACUUACUUUAUUGGCCCUCCAAGGAUGCAAAAAUCUUGAAAACUUACCAGAGAAUCUAGGGAAUAUCAAAGGCCUAAAGGAGCUUGAUUUGAGUGGAACAGCUAUAAAAGAAUUGCUUUCAUCGAUUGAACAUUUGACGAGUCUUACUUCAUUAACUCUCAGAUGUUGUGAAUAUCUUCAGUGUCUUCCUAGUGCCAUUUGUAGUUUGAAAUCGCUUGAAUCUCUUGAUCUUUUUGGAUGCUCAAAUUUGUACAACUUGCCAGAAAAUCUAGGCAAUGUCAAAAGUUUGCAAAAGCUUGAUUUGAGUAGAACAACUAUAAAAGAGUUGCCUUCAUCGAUUGAACGUUUGACAAGUCUUACUUCAUUAACUCUCAAAGGUUGUAAAUAUCUUGGAUGCUCAAAUUUGUACAACUUGCUAGAAAAUCUAGGGAAUGUCAAAAGUUUGCAAAAGCUUGAUUUGAGUGGAACAGCUAUAAAAGAGUUGCCUUCAUCCAUUGAACGUUUGACAAUGCUUACUUUAUUGGCCCUCCAAGGAUGCAAAAAUCUUGAAAACUUGCCAGAGAAUCUAGGGAAUGUCAAAGGCCUAAAGGAGCUUGAUUUGAGUAGAACAACUAUAAAAGAAUUUCCUUCAUCAAUUGAACGUUUGAUGCACCUUACUUCAUUGACUCUAUUUAAUUGCCACAAACUUGUGAGUCUUCCUAACACUACUUGUGGUUUUAAGUUCCGUGGUGCUCUUGAUCUUUCUACAUGCCCAAGAUUCAAAAACUUGCCAGAGAACCCAUGGAUAAUCGAAGGUCUAGAGAUGCUUGAUUUGAGUAAAACAGCUAUAGAAGGGAUGCCUUCAUCAAUUGGCCGUUUGACUAACCUUACUGCAUUGGCUCUAAGAUUUUGCAUGAAUCUUGUGCACCUUCCUAGCAUCAUUUGUAGUUUGAAGUUGCUUAAUUUUCUUGAUCUUUUUGGAUGCUUAAAAUUGGAGAUCUUGCCAGAGAACAUAGGAAAUAUGAAAGGUUUGGAGGAGCUUAAUUUGUGUUGGACAUCCAUAAAAGAGGUUCCUUCUUCCAUUGUUCUCCUUAAAAAUCUCAAAAAACUAUAUAUCCGUAGAUGGAAAUUAUCUGAAUUUUAUUCACAACCAGCAAGUCUUGAGUCGAUGGACCCAUUAUGGAAUUUAUCACAUUCCCAGCCAACAAGUCCUCUGGAGUGCAUAGGAUUGCCGUCAUUUUUAUAUUAUUCCCUGCCAGCAAGUCCUGUUUUGGAGGGCUUAUUAUUUUCUUCCUUAUCGGGUCUGCAUUCUUUAACAUAUUUGCAUAUUAAUGAUUGCGAUCUUUUAUUAAUCCCCAAUGACAUUGGCUGCCUUUCAUCUUUAGAAUGCUUAAACCUAAGUGGAAAUAAUUUUGUUUUCCUUCCUGAAAGCAUGUCCCAACUCUCUAAUCUUCGAAGUCUCUAUUUGGAGGGUUGCAAGAGGCUUCAAUCAUUGGGAAAUGUUCCGUCAACUAUCGAUUCUGUAAUUGCAAACAAUUGUAGCUCACUGGAGAGAUUGCCAGAACUGCAAUUUUAUCCUUUUAGGUCAAACUACUCCCGUUUCCAAUGUUUCAACUGCUUCAAAUUGGUUGACUAUAUUCAAAACGGCAGUAACAUGCUUCAGGUCUCUGUCUCUGUCUCUGUCUCUGUCUCUCUGUCUCUCUGUCUCUCUCUCAAUUCCUAACAUUAUGCCUUGUUUAUUUCAGGGACUACCAAAUAUUGUUAUUCCUGGAGGUGAAAUUCCAAAAUGGUUUAGCCAUGAGCGUCGAGGUGAUAGCAUGCAGUUGCCUUUUCGUGGGUUUGAUGAGCUAAUAGGAAUUGCGUUGUGUGUUGUUUUUGUACCCAAUGGGUCACGUCAAUAUCAUAUAUAUCAGAAUUUUAAAUGUAAUUUUUGGCUCAAUGGAUUGUAUAUUGCAGAUUUCGCACAAUCUUAUUAUUUUAGGACAGAAUUUGGUAGGGUUGAAUCACCUCAUAUUUGGUUGCUAUAUUUGCCCACUCACCAUUUCAUCUCCAAUCGGGGCAAAAUACAUAGUCUCAUUGAUGCCUAUGGAUUCAGUCAACUCGAGAUUAAAAUAUAUGUUGAGGUGGUGGAGAAAAUUGGGGUUCGGUUGGUAUACAAGCAAGACAUGGAAGAUCCCAAUCAAACCAUGGCACAGUGCAUCAACAACAACACACUGUAUGAGGAUUUAGGUGUACUACGUCAUGAUAUUGACAAUUCAGCCGUAGAAAGUAGCAGGAAUAGGCAAAGCCGUGAUGUGGAUGAUGGGGCUGGACCUAGUGGAGAAGGCUACUUUAAUGGGGAAUCACAGCCAAAGUGGAUUCAAAGGGAAAUUUUUGACUUCUUUUCUAGUAAGUGAACGUCUUUUCUUCUUACUACUUUACAAGUCAUCAUCUUUUUUUUAUUUUAUUUUAACCAGGUUAGUAUAAUACAAAUUUUUCGUGUUUUCUUGUUUGUGAACUUUUAUUUAUUGGAAGGAGAGGAUGAAAUGCCCAAGAAUCUUGAAUCCAUUCAUGGAGGGAAGGAGGAUAUUUACCAAGACAUUAAAGGUCCCAAUCAGACUAUGACACAGUUAAGCAUUAACAGCAGGAUGCUCUAUGAGGAUCUAGGUGAUCUCCACCAUGAUCUUUACAAUUCAGCUGCAAAAGGUAACAGAAAUAAGCGAAGCCGUGCUGAGGAAGAUGGGGCUGGACCUAGUGGAGAAGGCUGCUCUAAUAAGGAACCAGAGCUAAAGCGGAUUCAUUGA